CAAAACUAAUUAUCUUUUAAAAGGUUUACACGUGGUAGCCCUUACCCUCUUCUUAACACAAUCUUCCAUCAAAAGAUUUUCACCCCUAUCAUCAGGUUUAUCUUUAAGAAGUUUCAAUUUCAAAUAAUAAAAACCUUCCCUUGCCAACCAUCUAUUUGAAGGUUGAAUCCAAGUUUAGACCAAGGGUUGCGUGACCUGGGGAAUGGUCGUUGUAGCCAUUUAUGUGAGAAUAUUUAAGAUGGUUUGUACAAGGAUUUACAAAAUUGUUACAAAGUAUGAAAUCCAAAAGUUAUUAUUCAAGAGAUGUUGAUGGGAUAUUGUAUAGGAGUGAAAUUGAUAUCUCGACGAUUGGAAGGCACAUACAAAAAAUAAGGGCUAUAAAGUUACUGAUCCCCAAAUAUACUAGCUCUGGAAGGAAGAAUUGGUCAGUCAAGAAAGAAGGUUACCACGGUACAACUGAUAUGAUCCUGAAGAACAACGAAGUUGCAGGUGAUUAAACUUUCCGAGAACAACGUUAUGUGCUCGGAAAACAUAACCCUUUUGAUUUAAAAGUGGUUUGAGGGAAUUCUUUAAUGAUUUAAAAUGACAUUUUCUUGGUCUCAAUUUCAAAUACUAUGAUAAUCUCAUGUCAACAAAAAGUUCGUUACAAUUGAUGAAAUAGCAUUUUAAGCCACUAUAACAACAUUUUGUCGCUCUAAAUGUUUUACAAGUACAUCUGCAAUCAUAUGUAUACAAUCACGAUGUCACUUUCUUAAUCUUGCAAUGUUGUUUUCAGCUAAGAAAGUGUGUGUAUGUUUCACGGCAUAUUAGCACGAUAUGUCAUUGGUUGAUGGUUUACAUGUUUUCACAUAUCAUGCCUAACUUUUAUAUAUGAAUUUAUUAAUUUAAUUCAUAGUAUUA